CGUCGGCGGGCGCCGGCCGGGCCUGCAGAGCGGAAGACAAAGCCCCAUACGCUCGAGGACCGGACGCGGUGCCGCCGCUGCCUUUCGGGCCCGUCCCCCGGGAGCCGGGGGACGAGGGCCCAACACACAAGCCGGGCUUGAGGGCAGCAAUGACGCUCGGACAGGCAUGCCCCCCGGAAUACCAGGGGGCGCAAUGUGCGUUCAAAGACUCGAUGAUUCACUGAAUUCUGCAAUUCACAUUAGUUAUCGCAUUUCGCUGCGUUCUUCAUCGAUGCCGGAACCAAGAGAUCCAUUGUUGAAAGUUUUAACUGAUUGCAAACAAUCACACUCAGACUCCAAGCUUUCAGAACAGGGUUCAUGUUGGGGUCUCCGGCGGGCACGGGCCCGGGGGCGAGACGCCCCCCGGCGGCCAGCCCGAAGGCUGGCGGGCCCGCCGAAGCAACAGGGUACAAUAGGCACGGGUGGGAGGUUGGGCCACGCGGACCCGCACUCG
rnacentral:misc_RNA from 1 species